rnacentral:rRNA from 1 species
UAGCGUUGUUCGGAAUGACUGGGCGUAAAGGGUGUGUAGGCGGUUGGGCACGUCAGAUGUGAAAUCCCUGGGCUUAACCUGGAAAUGGCAUUUGAUACGGCAUAGCUAGAGAUUGGUAGAGGGUAGUGGAAUUGCGAGUGUAGAGGUGAAAUUCGUGGAGAUUCGCAGGAACACCGGUGGCGAAGGCGGCUACCUGACGCUGAGACACGAAAGCGUGGGAGCACACAGG